rnacentral:rRNA from 1 species
UACGGGGGGGGCAAGCGUUGUUCGGAAUUACUGGGCGUAAAGGGCUCGUAGGCGGCCAACUAAGUCAGACGUGAAAUCCCUCGGCUUAACCGGGGAACUGCGUCUGAUACUGGAUGGCUUGAAUCCGGGAGAGGGAUGCGGAAUUCCAGGUGUAGCGGUGAAAUGCGUAGAUAUCGAGAGGAACACCAGUGGCGAAGGCGAGUCCCUGGACAACUCCUGACGCUGAGGCACGAAAGCUAGGGGAGCAAACAGG